GUCGUGUAGGAAAUGGCCCAGCAGAAAUCUGCUAGUACUUCUGGAUCAUUGUGGUGCAGGGGUCGAACUAAAAUGGGAAAAAUCUGCUCAACAGUGUCUAAGGGAGUGCAGGAGUCUUGUUUCGACAAAGGUUUGAAAGUAUCCAGGUUAUCUCUAAAUGGAACUAGUAGAGUGGAGAUGCUUGCAAC
rnacentral:lncRNA from 14 species